GUCUAUGGCCACGCCACCCUGAACAAGCCCAAUCUUGUCUGAUCUUGGAAACUAAGCAGGGUCGGGCCUGGUUAGUACUUGGAUGGGAGACCACUUAGGAAGACCAGGUGCUAUAGGUG
rnacentral:rRNA from 1 species